rnacentral:rRNA from 1 species
GUGGGGAAUAUUGGACAAUGGGCGAAAGCCUGAUCCAGCCAUGCCGCGUGUGUGAAGAAGGUCUUCGGAUUGUAAAGCACUUUAAGUUGGGAGGAAGGGCAGUAAGUUAAUACCUUGCUGUUUUGACGUUACCGACAGAAUAAGCACCGGCUAACUUCGUGCCAGCAGCCGCGGUAAUACGAAGGGUGCAAGCGUUAAUCGGAAUUACUGGGCGUAAAGCGCGCGUAGGUGGUUCAGCAAGUUGGAGGUGAAAUCCCCGGGCUCAACCUGGGAACUGCUUUCAAAACUGCUGAGCUAGAGUACGGUAGAGGGUGGUGGAAUUUCCUGUGUAGCGGUGAGAUGCGUAGCUAUAGGAAGGAACACCAGUGGCGAAGGCGACCACCUGGACUGAUACUGACACUGAGGUGCGAAAGCGUGGGGAGCAAACAGGAUUAGAAACCCCAGUAGUCC